rnacentral:rRNA from 1 species
UACGGAGGAUCCGAGCGUUAUCCGGAUUUAUUGGGUUUAAAGGGAGCGUAGGCGGAUUGUUAAGUCAGUUGUGAAAGUUUGCGGCUCAACCGUAAAAUUGCAGUUGAUACUGGCAGUCUUGAGUGCAGUAGAGGUGGGCGGAAUUCGUGGUGUAGCGGUGAAAUGCUUAGAUAUCACGAAGAACUCCGAUUGCGAAGGCAGCUCACUGGAGUGUAACUGACGCUGAGGCACGAAGGCCAGGGGAGCGA